rnacentral:rRNA from 1 species
GACGAACGCUGGCGGCGUGCUUAACACAUGCAAGUCGAACGGAAAGGCCCUGCUCUUGUGGGGUGCUCGAGUGGCGAACGGGUGAGUAACACGUGAGUAACCUGCCCUUGACUUUGGGAUAACUUCAGGAAACUGGGGCUAAUACCGGAUAGGAGCUCCUGCUGCAUGGUGGGGGUUGGAAAGUUUCGGCGGUGGGGGAUGGACUCGCGGCUUAUCAGCUUGUUGGUGGGGUAGUGGCUUACCAAGGCUUUGACGGGUAGCCGGCCUGAGAGGGUGACCGGCCACAUUGGGACUGCGAUACGGCCCAGACUCCUACGGGAGGCAGCAGUGGGGAAUAUUGCACAAUGGGCGGAAGCCUGAUGCAGCAACGCCGCGUGCGGGAUGACGGCCUUCGGGUUGUAAACCGCUUUCGCCUGUGACGAAGCGUGAGUGACGGUAAUGGGUAAAGAAGCACCGGCUAACUACGUG